ACUAACUGACGAGUCCCAAACAGGACGAAACGCGCGUCCUCGAU
rnacentral:hammerhead_ribozyme from 1 species